AUUGUGAGGUAUUGUUUGCGUUUGCAACUCUACUGAGCCUUCUUUUCCUGAGCGUUCUGGUGUCUGAGGGUCCUGUGCUCUGUGCUUGGAUCCAUUCCUCCAUCCAACCAGUUUGUGUGCAUUCAUUACAUUUGGUGGAGCCAGAGUCUAACACUUUAAAUCGAUUCUGAAUCCUCAAGAUAUGACACGAUACUACCAAGAAGUAAAUAAUCAGUUGAUGUUGAGCAGCUGGUGGUCAUGCUACACAUACUGUCAUCUACAAUGUUGUUCUGUUCACUUUUACUCUAUUUUGAGUUCAUAGGUCUCAGUUCAGAACAGGUAAUUUCACCCUACACUGAUGUACAACUGGCUACAGAAAAGGACAGUGUUAAACUUUCUUGCAACUACACCUCUGGAAGAAAUCUUCAAUGGUAUCGACAAUAUCCUAAAUCAUCACCAGAUUUAUUGGUUAUGGAACAUAUGCCUGCAACAACAUCAGGGAUCUCCAUAGAACAUGAUAAAAAUGCCAAACGUGUGGAUCUGAUGAUCUCCUCUGUUGAAGUGACAGACUCUGCUCUGUACUACUGUGCUUUGGAGCCCACAGUGACAGGAAACCCAGACACACUGUACAAAAACCUGUCAACAUACAUAUCAUGUCAGUUUCAAGAGGGGGUGUACAAUCAAGUUCCAAGUUAAGCCUAGGCAAUGUAAAUCUAUAAAAAGGAUUUAAUUUAUUGUGAACAGAUUACAUAUAUGUAAAUGGUAGAUUUGUCUUGAACCAAUUGCUUAUUUGAGUUACAGAACAGCAUUAUUUCAGGUACCUUGGAC
ensembl:lncRNA